GACGAACGCUGGCGGCGUGCUUAACACACGCAAGUCGAACGGAAAGGCCCUGCUUUUGUGGGGUGCUCGAGUGGCGAACGGGUGAGUAACACGUGAGUAACCUGCCCUUGACUUUAGGAUAACUUCAGGAAACUGGGGCUAAUACCGGAUAGGAGCUCCUGCUGCAUGGUGGGGGUUGGAAAGUUUCGGCGGUUGGGGAUGGACUCGCGGCUUAUCAGCUUGUUGGUGGGGUAGUGGCUUACCAAGGCUUUGACGGGUAGCCGGCCUGAGAGGGUGACCGGCCACAUUGGGACUGAGAUACGGCCCAGACUCCUACGGGAGGCAGCAGUGGGGAAUAUUGCACAAUGGGCGGAAGCCUGAUGCAGCAACGCCGCGUGCGGGAUGACGGCCUUCGGGUUGUAAACCGCUUUCGCCUGUGACGAAGCGUGAGUGACGGUAAUGGGUAAAGAAGCACCGGCUAACUACGUG
rnacentral:rRNA from 1 species